CGCCAUCGGGCAGUGCCAGCACCUUAAAAACAAGCGAAGCACAGAGAGCGACGAACGAUGCUGGCACAGACCAUGAGGCUCUCCUUGCACAGUUUGGAUACCUGAACCAUCAGAAUCCUGGCGGGUGAAAUUCAUUGCUUGGGGAUUUUGAUCAGAGCAGUGAGUGCGAGAUAUAAACUACUGUGGCUGUGCAUUCUGUGGAGUGAAAAGCAGAGAAAGAAGUCACUCAAGUUAAAGCCUAGAACCAGAACGGUACAGAACCAAUCUCCUCACUGUUCCCCCAGAUCUGCUGAUUCAAUUUAGAACGCCAGCUUUAAAUCAGCUUUAAGUCUGCCACGGUGUGAAUGCAAACCCACAUUUUAAGAUCAGUGGACACUGACGAUGUGCUGUUCACACUUCCAGGAUCACCAGUUCACUUGUCUGCUGGUAUCAAGGCACUGCCUUGCCAUCUCUACUCACAUCCCUUACUUUCCACUCUUACCUAAAAAGCCUUCCAGAGCAGACGCUGUGCACUUGAGCCCAAAGAAAGGGCAGAUCUGGUCUGAAGUGUAGGACAGCACUUAGAAGACUGUCUGUAAGGAUGAGAAGGAAGUUCAGUUCUUCUGGUAGCUUCAGAAUUUAAUCUAUAGCAAAGUUAGGUUGUUUUUUU
rnacentral:lncRNA from 1 species